rnacentral:rRNA from 1 species
CAGAAACUACAAAGGAAGUUAGACGGGGCCCGGCACAAGCGGUGGAGUAUGUGGUUUAAUUCGAUGCAACGCGAAGAACCUUACCUGGUCUUGACAUCCCGGAGACCCUUAGGAAACUAGGGGGUGCUUCCAUCUGGAAGAAUCUGGAGACAGGUGCUGCAUGGCUGUCGUCAGCUCGUGUCGUGAGAUGUUGGGUUAAGUCCCGCAACGAGCGCAACCCUUGCCUUUAGUUGCCAGCAGUUCGGCUGGGCACUCUAAAGGGACUGCCGGUGUUAAACCGGAGGAAGGUGGGGAUGACGUCAAGUCCUCAUGGCCUUUAUGACCAGGGCUACACACGUACUACAAUGGCCGAUACAAAGGGCAGCGACACUGCGAGGUGAAGCCAAUCCCGUAAAAUCGGUCUCAGUCCGGAUUGGAGUCUGCAACUCGACUCCAUGAAGUUGGAAUCGCUAGUAAUCGUGGAUCAGCAUGCCACGGUGAAUACGUUCCCGGGCCUU